rnacentral:rRNA from 1 species
AUUGAACGCUGGCGGCAGGCCUAACACAUGCAAGUCGAGCGAGCGGCGGACGGGUGAGUAAUGUCUGGGAAACUGCCUGAUGGAGGGGGAUAACUCCUGGAAACGGUAGCUAAUUCCCCAUACCAUCAGAUGUGCCCAGCUGGGAUUAGCUGGUAGGUGGGGUAACGGCCUACCUAGGCGACGAUCCCUAGCCGGUCUGAGAGGAUGAAAAGCGACACGGGAACGGAGACACGGACAAUACGCCUAAGUGAGGGAGCAGUGGGGAAUAUUGCACAAUGGGCGCAAGCAUGAUGCAGCCAGGGCGCGUGUGUUAAGAAGACCUGCGGGGUGUAAAGCACUCUCAGCGGGGAGGCGGUACCCGCAGAAGAAGCACCGACUAACUCCGUGCCAGCAGCCGCGGUAAUUC